rnacentral:rRNA from 1 species
AGUCGAGGGGUAUAGGCUUUCGGGCCUAGAGACCGGCGCACGGGUGCCUUUCGCGUAUGCAAUCUACCUUUCACAGAGGGAUAGCCCAGAGAAAUUUGGAUUAAUACCUCAUGGUAUAUAGGAGUGGCAUCACUUUUAUAUUAAAGUCACAACGGUGAAAGAUGAGCAUGCGUCCCAUUAGCUAGUUGGUAAGGUAACGGCUUACCAAGGCGACGAUGGGUAGGGGUCCUGAGAGGGAGAUCCCCCACACUGGUACUGAGACACGGACCAGACUCCUACGGGAGGCAGCAGUGAGGAAUAUUGGUCAAUGGGCGCAAGCCUGAACCAGCCAUGCCGCGUGCAGGAUGAAGCAUCUAUGGUGUGUAAACUGCUUUUGUACGGGAAGAAACAGAGGUUCGUGAACCUCCUUGACGGUACCGUAAGAAUAAGGAUCGGCUAACUCCGUGCCAGCAGCCGCGGUAAUACGGAGGAUCCAAGCGUUAUCCGGAAUCAUUGGGUUUAAAGGGUCCGUAGGCGGUUUAGUAAGUCAGUGGUGAAAGCCCAUCGCUCAACGGUGGAACGGCCAUUGAUACUGCUAGACUUGAAUUAUUAGGAAGUAACUAGAAUAUGUAGUGUAGCGGUGAAAUGCUUAGAUAUUACAUGGAAUACCAAUUGCGAAGGCAGGUUACUACUAAUGGAUUGACGCUGAUGGACGAAAGCGUGGGUAGCGAACAGGAUUAGAUACCCUGGUAGUCCACGCCGUAAACGAUGGAUACUAGCUGUUCGGAGCAAU